rnacentral:rRNA from 1 species
UAAAAGUCGUAACAAGGUUUCCGUAGGUGAACCUGCGGAAGGAUCAUUAACGAGUUUGAAAUCGAGAGCCUGUUGCUGGUGCGGAAACGCACAUCGUGCACGGCUCCCGUGCUCAAUCCAUUUCAACCCCCUUGUGCACCUUAUCGAAGUCAGUAGUCUUUCUCUUUUUGUUUGCCGGUUGUGUGUGGGAACCUCUUUCUGUUCACUUGGCCGGCGAGGAGAAAUAGAGGGUCGAAAGCUUUGACUUUUCUAUUAAACACUUUGUAUGUCUUGUGGAACGUAUUAGCUCCUUUGUAGGGGCGAAAUAAAUACAACUUUCAACAACGGAUCUCUUGGCUCUCGCAUCGAUGAAGAACGCAGCGAAAUGCGAUAAGUAAUGUGAAUUGCAGAAUUCAGUGAAUCAUCGAAUCUUUGAACGCACCUUGCGCCCCUUGGUAUUCCGAGGGGCAUGCCUGUUUGAGUGUCAUGUUAAUCUCAAACCCCUUGUCUUUUUUGUUGACUUGGUCGGUUUGGACUUGGAGGUGUUGCUGGCGUGUGUACGCAGUACUAUGUGUCGGCUCCUCUUAAUUGCAUUAGCUGGACUUUGGUUCGCAUUUGACGGUGUAAUAGUAAAGUGUUCGCCGGGCGUGCUUGCCUAACGGGUCUGCUUCUAAUCGUCUUCGGACAACUCUGUUCAUUUUGACCUUUGACCUCAAAUCAGGUAGGACUACCCGCUGAACUUAAGCAUAUCAAUAAGCGGAGGAAAAGAAACUAACAAGGAUUCCCCUAGUAACUGCGAGUGAAGCGGGAAGAGCUCAAAUUUAAAAUCUGGCGGCUUUCGGUCGUCCGAGUUGUAAUCUGGAGAGGCAUUUUCCGCGUUGGACCGUGCAAAUUUUNCCUUGGAGAAAAAUUUUUU